GAAAUGCGAUAAGUAAUGUGAAUUGCAGAAUUCAGUGAAUCAUCGAAUCUUUGAACGCACCUUGCGCUCCUUGGUAUUCCUUGGAGCAUGCCUGUUUGAGUAUCAUGAAAUCUUCAAAGUAAAUGUUUUGUUAACUCAAUUGGUUUCUACUUUGGUAUUGGAGGUCUUUGCAGCUUCACACCUGCUCCUCUUUGUUCAUCAGCUGGAUCUCAGUGUUAUGCUUGGUUCCACUCGGCGUGAUAAGUUAUCUAUCGCUGAGGACACUGUAAAAGGUGGCCAAGGUAAAUGCAGAUGAACCGCUUCUAAUAGUCCAUUGACUUGGACAAUACUUUUAUGAUCUGAUCUCAAAUCAGGUAGGACUACCCGCUGAACUUAAGC
rnacentral:misc_RNA from 1 species